rnacentral:rRNA from 1 species
UACGGAGGGAGCUAGCGUUGUUCGGAAUUACUGGGCGUAAAGCGCGCGUAGGCGGCUUUGUAAGUCAGAGGUGAAAUCCCGGGGCUCAACUCCGGAACUGCCUUUGAAACUGCAUCGCUUGAAUCCGGGAGAGGUGAGUGGAAUUCCGAGUGUAGGGGUGAAAUUCGUAGAUAUUCGGAAGAACACCAGUGGCGAAGGCGGCUCACUGGACCGGCAUUGACGCUGAGGUGCGAAAGCGUGGGGAGCAAACAGG